rnacentral:rRNA from 1 species
GAUGAACGCUGGCGGCGUGCCUAAUACAUGCAAGUCGAGCGAACGGACGAGAAGCUUGCUUUUCUGAUGUUAGCGGCGGACGGGUGAGUAACACGUGGAUAACCUACCUAUAAGACUGGGAUAACUUCGGGAAACCGGAGCUAAUACCGGAUAAUAUUUUGAACCGCAUGGUUCAAUAGUGAAAGACGGUCUUGCUGUCACUUAUAGAUGGAUCCGCGCUGCAUUAGCUAGUUGGUAAGGUAACGGCUUACCAAGGCAACGAUGCAUAGCCGACCUGAGAGGGUGAUCGGCCACACUGGAACUGAGACACGGUCCAGACUCCUACGGGAGGCAGCAGUAGGGAAUCUUCCGCAAUGGGCGAAAGCCUGACGGAGCAACGACGCGUGAGUGAUGAAGGUCUUCGGAUCGUAAAACUCUGUUAUUAGGGAAGAACAUAUGUGUAAGUAACUGUGCACAUCUUGACGGUACCUAAUCAGAAAGCCACGGCUAACUACGUG